GGAAGUGGUCAUCAGCAAGUGUGGAGCCAAACGACAACAAGAUUCUCAGAGGGCGGAGCCAGAGAGCAGUGAUUGGUCAGACUGACUGAGAGCCAGAGAGCAGUGAUUGGUCAGACCAUAGAUAAUAUAGAAGACAGCGCGCUAGCGUAUCUAGUCUAUGUAUAUCUAUGGUCGGCACGUCUGGUAGCAUCUCUGGCUGCUGUUGACCUUGUUUUUGGAGUAAAACACGGUGGAAGCUGAAUUAGUGAGGAUGACUCCUGCUCCUAUCAUCUCUAAGCUCCUCACACAUCUUUACCUGCACAUGAGGAAAAUCACUCCUGUAGAAUGCAGAUGUUCAGAGGGAGAUGAUGCCACAUCUGGUCCAGCUGAUGGAAGGUCUUGAAGUUCUCUGACUGGCCUCGACUGAAGAUGGUCGUCUCACUGGAUUUAAGGUUCAGAUGCUCAGUAACAAACUCCACCAAUGAGCCAACAGGGAAGCUUUAGGUUUAUUAAAUGUUGCUAUGAAGGUUUCGCUGUUUUUCUUUGUGAAUGCAAUGUGCUCCAACUGAAACUUGAAUUAGAACUUAGAAGUAAAUCCUGCCAUCUGAAAGGAUUUAGUUGCAUUAAUAACCUCAUAACAUUCUAAUUUUUAUUCCAGUCUUAGUUGGAAAUAGAAUCUCUGUAUUGAUUCAGGUAAAAACUGAACUUCACAGCAUGUUGGAGCAAAACAACCAGAUGAAAACUGUGAUGGUGUUGGAUUGUCAGACCGUAAUGUUGCAGCUCAAAGCAGCUUUUCUAGCUCAGUUCAUUCUGACAUUCAGCUAUGAAUCAACACAGCAGAUGGUGAUCCAUGCUGUGGAAGUCUCACAUCUCCUGAUUUAAUGGAGCUGCUUUGCACUUUUUACACUGUUUA